rnacentral:lncRNA from 1 species
UUCUUGGGGGAGCGGUCCUUUCAUCAGACUGUGCAAAAUAUUCCCGCAGUCCUAUUAUCAAAAAUUAAAACUAAGCACUAAUUCAUAUUAGAGUAUAAUGCCAUUUCGUCCACCCAAGUCACAACUAACUCCUUUUGUUUAUUCUGUUAACUUGAAGGGAAAACCUGUGAAAUAUCUGUCAAAUAUCAGUCAAUAUCGUCGAUAA